AGAUUGAACGCUGGCGGCAUGCCUUACACAUGCAAGUCGAACGGUAGAGUAGCAAUACUUGAGAGUGGCGAACGGGUGAGUAAUAUAUCGGAACGUGCCCAGUCGUGGGGGAUAACGUAGAGAAAUUUACGCUAAUACCGCAUACGAUCUAAGGAUGAAAGCGGGGGAUCGCAAGACCUCGCGCGAUUGGAGCGGCUGAUAUCAGAUUAGGUUGUUGGUGAAGGUAAAAGCUCACCAAGCCGACGAUCUGUAGCUGGUUUGAGAGAACGACCAGCCACACUGGGACUGAGACACGGCCCAGACUCCGUACGGGAGCAGCAGGUGGGAAUUUUGGACAAGUAGGGGGAAACCCUGACUCCAGCCAUCCCGCGUGUGCGAGUGAACGGCCUUACGGGUUAGUAACGUACUACGUUUGGACG
rnacentral:rRNA from 1 species